rnacentral:rRNA from 1 species
GUCGCAGCCGCCGCGGUAAUACGAAGGGACCUAGCGUAGUUCGGAAUUACUGGGCUUAAAGAGCACGUAGGUGGUUGAAAAAGUUGGUGGUGAAAUCCCAGAGCUUAACUCUGGAACUGCCAUCAAAACUUUUUAGCUAGAGUAUGAUAGAGGAAAGUAGAAUUUCUAGUGUAGAGGUGAAAUUCGUAGAUAUUAGAAAGAAUACCAAUUGCGAAGGCAGCUUUCUGGAUCAUUACUGACACUGAGGUGCGAAAGCAUGGGUAGCGAAGAGGAUUAGAUACCCUCGUAGUCCAUGCCGUAAACGAUGUGUGCUAGACGUUGGAAAUUUAUUUUCAGUGUCGCAGCGAAAGCGAUAAGCACACCGCCUGGGGAGUACGACCGCAAGGUUAAAACUCAAAUGAAUUGACGGGGACCCGCACAAGCAGUGGAGCAUGUGGUUUAAUUCGAAGAUACGCGCAGAACCUUACCAACACUUGACAUGUUCGUCGCGACUUUAAGAGAUUAAAGUCUUCGGUUCGGCCGGACGAAACACAGGUGCUGCAUGGCUGUCGUCAGCUCGUGUCGUGAGAUGUUGGGUUAAGUCCCGCAACGAGCGCAACCCUUACUUUUAGUUGCCACCAUUUAGUUGGGCACUCUGAAAGAACUGNC